rnacentral:rRNA from 1 species
UACGUAGGGGGCAAGCGUUGUCCGGAUUUAUUGGGCGUAAAGAGCUCGUAGGUGGUUCGGUAAGUCGGAUGUGAAAUCUCCAGGCUCAACCUGGAGGGGUCAUUCGAUACUGCCGUGACUAGAGGUCGGUAGGGGAGUGUGGAAUUCCUGGUGGAGCGGUGAAAUGCGCAGAUAUCAGGAGGAACACCUGUGGUGUAGACGGCUCUCUGGACCGCAACUGACGCUGAGACACGAAAGCGUGGGUAGCAAACAGG